AACGGUGAUUCACAGCGCUGACUGGAGGGGCAUCAGACACGUUUUUCCUUCCGACAUAUUGAGAUUUUUUUAAGUUUUGACAAUUUUUAUUUAUUUUUUUUGUUCAAUUCGUGUCUCGUUUUUUGUGAGGGUGGUUCGUCGAUGCGCUGUUGACCUUCGUCUGAGAUCUGUGGAGCCGUUAUCUUUCUGAAGGUAACUGCUUCAGAGUCUAAACAAUGAGCAAGCCUGUAAAAGACGCCGAGUAUUGGAAGAGCAAGUGCGAUGAACUCGAAAAGGAGCUUGAAGACUUCCAAGAGAGCUCACAUAUGCUUGAAAAGGAGCUCGAGAGCUCUUUGGAGCAGUCCGAAAAAACAAUCAAAGAGCUUAGGCGCAAGACCAACUCGCUGCAGUUUGAAAAUGACUCUUUGAAGGAUAAGUAUGAUGAACUUAAAAAAAGGACGGAAGCACAGAUCACAGAGCUGGAAGAGGAAGCAGCGCAGAGUCACAAAAGGGAGGAAGAAUACGUGAAAUACAUACGAGAGCUGGAACAAAAAAACGAUGACCUAGAACGAGCUCAAAGAGCUACAUAUACUUCUUUAGGAGAAUUUGAAACUAAAUUGAACUCAGCUUUAGAACGAAACGUGCUUUUAGAAUCCGAACUAGAUGAAAAAGAAUUACUUAAAUCGAUGGUUCAAAGGUUAAAAGAUGAAACAAGAGACUUAAAACAGGAGAUCGAGGUGAGAGGGAAGUGCAAUCACCACAGUAACGACCAUACGCGAAUUGUGGACACGAACAAGCUAGACUCCGAGAGCAACUCGUCGCCUGGUCAUAACCCCCCUCUGAAAAGUUUGAACGGGCUGAGCACGUCAAGAGUUUCCGCUGCAAACAUAGUCAGCGAAUUGCUUCGAACUGUUGGACUUGAGAGGUUGCUGUGUGCACGUUGCAACAAGAUCAAGUGCAUCUGCUCCACCCCGAUCCUUGCCACAAUCAAAUGACAUUCCUUCCUAAUCCUAAUCCUAAUUGAAAUAAUUCUUUUAAGUCAUUUGAACAAUUGUGAUCCUGUGAUUAUUAUGAUUUAUGAUUUUUAUUUAAUUGUUAGUCAAUUAAUCGAUUAAUUCAGUUCUCGAGUCGGAAAUGCUCAAAUUACUAGCUAAAUCAAAUUCCUAGUUAUAACAAUUUUAUUUUAUUUUAUUUUUUAAACUGUGAUGCAACAAAUAAACAGGAUAAUAAAGACGAUUUUGUGUUUUCAAAAUUGAAACUAAUUAUUUAAAUUAUUCACACUUUUUAUGUAAGGUCUUGGUUGGGAUGAAAAAUAAAGUAUAAUUAAUUUAAAUAAUUAAUACAGUCGAUUAUGACUACUAAAUAUGUGGAUUAAUUUAAACUAAUUUUUAUCAAAGUGAUAUAAUGCUCAAUUAAUCUGUGCCUAACUAGUUUUUAUCGAUUUUUUAAAAUCCGCCAAAGAUUUACAAUAAUGAAAAAAGUUAAAAAACAAGUAUAUUUUUGUAAAUAGAUAAUUUGUAAAUAAUGAAAUGUACCUGAAUGUAAUUACAAUUCUUUCACAACUUGAAAUUUCCAUAGAGCACUACAUAAAAUUGCACACGAUUAGAAGUUUCCUAUUCCUUUCACCCUCCACCCCUUUUUUUGUCCCCACGUCACAAAUUUGGAGUGCCUUGGAAGAUAUCUGGAACGUUCCUGAAUAAUGAAUUCAAAUUGAAAGGUUUUGGAAUCGAAACUGAUAGUGAGGGCGAAUCAGAGGGAUUUUGUGUCUCAAAACGACAGUGCCGGAAAGGACCAUAUGAGGGAAUCGGAGUCGGGAAAACAGAAUUUGAUAAAGGCAGUUUCUUUAACGCAGAUCUGCUCUUGAAUAGUUUGGAGGGGAAAACUAAACAGAGGAGCAUCUUCGCCGUCUAUCCACAAUCUUGUGCGGUCUUAGACCUAUUAUUAUUCUCUACUGCUAAUAGAUCGCUAAGCUGA
rnacentral:misc_RNA from 1 species